GCCGCCUUAGCUCAGUCGGACAGAGCGACGCACUCGUAAUGCGUAGGUCGGGGGUUCGAUUCCCCCAGGCGGCU
rnacentral:tRNA from 1 species